GGGAUCAAGACGAUUAGAUACCGUCGUAGUCUUAACCGCAAACGAUGCCGACUAGGGAUCGGGCGGAGUGAUGAAGGACCCGCCCGGGACCUCGUGAGUAAUCAAAGUAUUCGGGUUCUGGGGGUAGUAUGGUCGCAAGG
rnacentral:rRNA from 1 species